rnacentral:rRNA from 1 species
AUACGGAGGGGGUUAGCGUUGUUCGGAAUUACUGGGCGUAAAGCGUACGUAGGCGGAUUAGUAAGUUAGGGGUGAAAGCCCAGGGCUCAACCCUGGAACUGCCUCUAAAACUGCUAGUCUUGAGAUCGUGAGAGGUGAGUGGAAUUCCGAGUGUAGAGGUGAAAUUCGUAGAUAUUCGGAGGAACAUCAGUGGCGAAGGCGGCUCACUGGCACGAUACUGACGCUGAGGUACGAAAGUGUGGGGAGCAAACAGGAUUAGAAACCCCAGUAGUCC